AUUGAACGCUGGCGGCAUGCCUUACACAUGCAAGUCGAACGGUAACAGGUCUUCGGAUGCUGACGAGUGGCGAACGGGUGAGUAAUACAUCGGAACGUGCCCGAUCGUGGGGGAUAACGAGGCGAAAGCUUUGCUAAUACCGCAUACGAUCUACGGAUGAAAGCGGGGGAUCUUCGGACCUCGCGCGGGCGGAGCGGCCGAUGGCCGAUUAGGUUGUUGGUGGGAUAAAAGCUUACCAAGCCGACGAUCUGUAGCUGGUCUGAGAGGAUGAUCAGCCACACUGGGACUUGGACACGGCCCAGACGCCUACGGGAGGCAGCAGUGGGGAAUUUUGGACAAUGGGCGAAAGCCUGAUCCAGCCAUGCCGCGUGCAGGAUGAAGGCCUUCGGGUUGUAAACUGCUUUUGUACGGAACGAAAAGCCUCUUUCUAAUAAAGAGGGGUCAUGACGGUACCGUAAGAAUAAGCACCGGCUAACUACGUG
rnacentral:rRNA from 1 species